CUCAUCAGCCAUCGUUGAUGUGCCACAGACCUGAGGGCACGUGACCCAGGAAUGUGCAUCCAAAGAUAAUACUACCUUCAGAGAACUCUACUUAUAGUGGUGAAAUUGAAUCACUGAAGCAGCUGAGGCAGAGAGCUUUUCCUUCAGGAUUCACGGCCUAUUUCUCAGUUCUGGGAAGACAACUCUAACAACUCAACAGAGUGAAGAGAGAUAAAGAUGUUGGGAAUGACUGAUUUCAAACAAUCAAAACUGCUUUGGGGAUGAGGAUGAAGUUGGGACAUUACUGCCUUGUAUACCACAUACUAUAAUAUUUAUUAUGUCUAUUGUUUAUUGUGUGUGUCCUUCUUUAGAAUUUUAACUCCCCAAGGGCAAAGAUCCCUGACUGUUUUGCUUAUCAAUGUAUCCAAAAGGCCUAAAACAGAGCCUUGUACCCUAUACACACUCUGCAAAUAUUUGCUGAAUUGAAUAAAAGGCUGCCGAUCUAUAAA
rnacentral:lncRNA from 1 species